rnacentral:rRNA from 1 species
UAACUGUGCAAAGGUAGCAUAAUCAAUAGUUUUUUAAUUGAAGGCUUGUAUGAAGGGUUGGACAAAGAAUAAUCUGUUUUUAUUUUUUUUUUUGAAUUUAACUUUUAAGUGAAAAGGCUUAAAUAAAUUUAAGGGACGAUAAGACCCUAUAAAUCUUUAUAUUAUUUUGUUUUUUAGUAAAUAAUAAAGUAAAUAGUUUAAUAAAACAAAAAAUAUUUUGUUGGGGUGAUGAAAAUAUAAUUAUUAACUGUUUUAAAAUUUAAACAAAGUUGUUUGGUAAAAAUAAUAAAUCCUUUAUGUAAAUAAAAAAUUUAAGUUACUUUAGGGAUAACAGCGUUAUUUUUUUUGAGAGUUCAUAUCGAAAAAAAAGUUUGCGACCUCGAUGUUGAAUUAAAAGUUCUUUGUGGAGCAGGUGCCACAAAAAAAAGUCUGUUCAACUUUUAAAAUUUUACG